rnacentral:lncRNA from 1 species
AUUGGAGAAAUAGCUCCUCAGCUUUGAAAGAUCAAAGAGUUGGAAUCUUACCUUUUGAACUGAAUUUUUAUUCAUAACAACUGGAAUAUCACUAAGUUGGAUACUUUUUAUUCUUUCUAUUCCCUGCCCUAUCCCUCUCACUUUUAAAUGUCAGAGCCUGAAAAGUAUCCUUUUAAAAUUGUAUUAAAGUUUUUAAUUAAAAAAUAAAUAAAUUUCAAAGCCUAUACACAGGAAAUCCAUGGAAGAACAAUCCAUGACUUUAUCAACUCUUUCUGCUGUGCAAAAUAAUGGAAUUAGUUAAAUCCCCCAUAGCUUAAAAGAAGUAGAUAACCAAUUAUCCCAAGUCACUUAUUUCACCAUUCAACUUGAAAUUAACCUGCUGCUGUUUGCUGAACUUUCCCUCAUCUUUCCUCCAUAUUUAUAAUUGCAUCUCAAUCUUAUGUUACACAUUAAUUUCAAAGCAUUGUGUGGGUUUUUUUUUUUCAUUCUUCCUGUUAAUUGUUUUCCACUAUACAUUCUAGACCAAAAUUCUUGUCCAGAAUGCCAUUCGUGAUAUAAUUAUUCACAACUUUAGGCAGAGUUCACUUUGGCAGUAGAGGCAGGUGAGAUUCGAGAAGCUGAGCCUUCUUGGUAAUCCCAAACCAAGUAAUAAUUCUCCUAUUUCCAUUGUGAGUUUGUACCCUUCGCACAUCUUGCCUCCUUUCUGUCACCCACUCAGGAUGAGUCCAUUCAUUCAUUCAAACAGCUAUUAGCAAUGUCCUGAUCUGGACAAGCACUGCCUAGUGCUUGAGGCAGGGUACGUUGAUGAAUAUGACUGACCCAGUCCCUGCCAAAGAUGGAGCACCCAUUCUAGAAUGGGUAAUCUUUUGCUCUUUCUCAAGAAAGGAGGGGCUCAGCAUGAGUCAGUGUAGGCAGUCUUCAUUUUGUAUGGUACUGCAGGACUGUACAGAGGCCCAUGCAGGCCCCAAAUGUGCAAGUGACUCUGGGUUUGAUCCCUGGCCUGGGAACUUCCACAUGCCAUGGGCGUGGCCAAAAAAAUUUUUUGUCAAAAUUCUUACUAUCAGGAGUUUCCAUGGUGGCUCAGCGGUAACGCACCCAACUAGGAUCCAUGAGGACACAGGUUUGGUCCCUGGCCUCGCUCCGUGGGUUAAGGAUCCCACCUUGCCAUGAGCUGUGGUGUAGGUCACAGACGCGGCUUGGAUCCCACAUGGCUGUGACUGUGGCAUAGGCCAGCAGCUGUAGUUCUGAUUUGACCACUAGCCUGGGAACUUCCAUAUGCCAUGGGUGCGGCCCU